GACGAACGCUGGCGGCGUGCUUAACACAUGCAAGUCGAACGGAAAGGCCCUGCUUUUGUGGGGUGCUCGAGUGGCGAACGGGUGAGUAACACGUGAGUAACCUGCCCUUGACUUUGGGAUAACUUCAGGAAACUGGGGCUAAUACCGGAUAGGAGCUCCUGCUGCAUGGUGGGGGUUGGAAAGUUUCGGCGGUUGGGGAUGGACUCGCGGCUUAUCAGCUUGUUGGUGGGGUAGUGGCUUACCAAGGCUUUGACGGGUAGCCGGCCUGAGAGGGUGACCGGCCACAUUGGAACUGAGGUACGGCCCAGACUCCUACGGGAGGCAGCAGAGGGGAAUAGUGCACAAUGGGCGGAAGCCUGAUGCAGCAACGCCGCGGGCGGGAUGACGGCCUUCGGGUUGUAAGCCACUUUCGCCUGAGACGAAGCGUGAGUGACGGUACUGGGUAAAGAAGCACCGGCUAACUACGUG
rnacentral:rRNA from 1 species